UUUGAAUGUGAUCCCUAAAACCAAUCUUUUUUUUUUUUCAUUAAUAGAAAACAAUGCCUACCAUCUGGUACUUUAUAGAAUGAGGGUGAAAUGGAAUUUGAAAACAUACUUUCAAAAAUAUUUUACGCAUAACGGAAGAGACCAAAAAUCUAGAGAAAGUAACUGAAAUAGGCUUCCCUACUUGCUUUUACACACUUGCUGAUGACGGCUUAGAAUUGAGCCUGAGAAAGGAAGGAACAUAAAGGAAAGGGGAGCCUUGCUCUCUAAUCCACCAUCCGUGAGAAUCCUGGGGCAAAGGAGGGACGGCAAGAGACAAGGACCAGUUUUGGGCUCAGGCCAGGGACCCUACUGUCCCUGCCUGGUACCUUCCUUCCCAGAGCAUUUUCCCACCUGCAAAGCUCCUUCCCGCAUCAAGCUCAUCUCGGGAAGGUCAGUUAUGGUGCUGUCAGUCAAAUACUCCCCAGCUUUCCUGGGUUCAGUUACUGCUACGUCUUUUUAGAUGGUAAUUUUAUGAUUCACUCAAAGACUUUCAAAAGAAAGAGGCUUUUAAGCAAUGAAAGAAUCAAUGGGGUUUAAAGUCCUGGCAAGCUGAUACUGAUCAGUCUCAGCAAGGUACAAAAGCAUGCUGCAGAACGGGUUUGGCUUGGAACUGAAACCACAUGUAGAAGAAAAUGUUUGCAAUAGAGGCAGGUGUCACUUCCAGAGGGAACUUAGCAAGGGGCCCACUUCCCAGUACAGUUUAUUUAUCUCAAGAGAUUUCUUCUCCUUGCACCGGCUCAUUAUCACAGAAGACUGGAAAGAAUCAGGAGAUGAAAACGCCCACAUUUAAAUAUUUAAGAUUAGUAUCAAAGCAAUAAAAGUUUUCUAUGAUUGAACCAAAUAUAUUAAGUUUCAGUGAAGAAUUAUUUAUAACCAGGUUCCUGCAAGGCACCCAGGGCAGGAAGUGGUUGAUUCUGCAGACUUCAUUUCUUUAUUUCCCUCCUUCACUUAAAAUAACAUAUUUCAAACAUACCAAAGGCAUAAAAAGUAAUACAAUCAACACCUUUUAUUUUCUAACACCCAUCUUAGGAAACAGAACACACCAAAGCAGUUCCCAGUAUGACCCUAACCCUAGACAGACUUCUCCCCACCCACUCUCCCUUCAGGCAGCAACUCCUGUCCUGAAUUGGUCCUUCCCAGUUCCACAGACUUCUUUUAUUACAUAUGUAAAUAUUGUUAACCACAAUUUAGGCCUUACAAGGUGUGCUUUAGAUCUUUAUUUGCAGAGCUGCCCAAAGGUGUGAGGGGUUCAAGAAGAUAUAUUUUUUUGCAGGACUCCUGUCUACAGAAACAAUUUGAGUUGCCCAAAACAGUGUGACAGUACCAUUCUGGCAGCCCCAUCUAGUGUUCCGCCACCAGCCAACAGCAGCCCCAGCCAACUGCACCAGCCAAAGGGAGCAAUGUGCUCCCAGGGCUUCCUGGAACCUGAGCUGGGCACAUCCAGAGCUGCCUGGCAUCUUUUCAGCCCCAGGAAUUGUGCAGGAGGUAGAGGAGAAGCAGGUCCAUGCAGGUCUCUGUUAAAGCUUACAGCGCCUGCCCAGAGAGCGGCCAGGCCCAGCUGGGGAGAAGUGGAACCCAGCACCCCUGCCCAGGCUAAGACAUGCAUACUCUGCCCUUCAUAUUCUGCUCAACAUGGUGAAAUUUGCCCACGCUGGCCGCUGCAGCUCCACUCAGUCAUCACUGUCAUUUAGCAUCCUAGCCUACCAACAGACUCCUUAUUAAUCCAUCCUCCCCAUGGCCGGCAUUUUGCUUGUCCCCAUUUUCCAUUAUGAAAGAAAAAUACUUCGACUCCUCUUCUCCAUGUCUCCUGUAGGAACUGAGGGGAAUCUUAAUCAACUUUCCAGAUUUCAACCAUUUCACUUGCUUUUGGUUACUUGCCUUUAGUUGACCACCAGUUGUCAACGACACUCCGCAAAUAAUAUGCUGUCAGACCCCCGGAAUUUUGCUAUGGUAACACCUCCAAGUGUCAUCCUGAUGGUGAUGGUUGUCAAACUUGUUGUCAGAAACUUGGAGGCCACCUUGAUCCAGCUCAAACUGGUUCAAAGUACUGACCCUUCCCUUGGACCUAUGCAAGUGUCCCACGGGGACUUCUUUCACAUCAGAGGGCCAAAACCUCCACAGUCAGAUCAUGUUAAGUUCCACUUUCUGAACAUGCAUCCUGUGGAAAGUCGUGAAGUUUAAUUGCACAUGCGCGGACCUAACCUCCAGUCACCUGUCCCCUGCUGUGGACCACCCUGCUUCCCGAUGGCCUAGAUAUCCCUAGUCCUUGUCCUUGGAGGGGCAGAUUUGAGACUUGCCCUCUUGUCUUCUUCUGCUUGUGAAUAAACUUUCUCUUCUCAGAUCUUGUCAUUGUAGUGACCGGUGUCGUGCGCCACAGGCAAAGAGGACCCUGGUUCCAUAACACUGUCACCUUGAGAAAGAAAAUGCAGAUGCUGGUUCCAGGAAGGCAAGGUCCCUCUGGAUGUUCUGGGAAGGAAAAGGAGAGGAAGGCCCUGCCCAGCGCAGGGUUCCUGCCCACUGGCCCACUCGCCAUUCCUGCCUUUUCUCCUCUGAGCCCAGGAAGAUAGAGACUUGAGAUGAAAAAGCCCAGUCUGAUUUUAAUAAAACGAUUUCCUUCCACCGACCUCUGUGUGCCAAGUGAGGAUGGAGCAGAGAGCGGCUCUCCACAUUCGGUCCAGAUGCGGACGACAGAGGUAGCGUGGGGACCGGGUGGGACCUUUAAGAGGCAGAGCCUCCAGGGAGGUCCUUAGGUCUCUGGAGGCCUAAGGCAGUUCUGUGAGACCCUGGAGAAGUUUGUUACAAAAAGAGCAAGCCUGUCCCCUCCCGUGCAUUCUUGCUGCUCCCUACCUGUCUGCUACACCAUUUCCAAUACCAAGUAGCCAAAACUGUGAGUUAAAUAAGCCUUUUUUUUUUCUUUAUGAAGUUAGCUGCCUCAGGCAUUUCACUGUAGUGUUGAAAAACUGACUGAUACCGGUUUACACUUAAAA
rnacentral:lncRNA from 1 species